UACGUAUGGCGCAAGCGUUAUCCGGAUUUACUGGGCGUAAAGGGAGCGCAGGCGGCGCGCCAAGUCUGAUGUGAAACCCCGGGGCUCAACCCCGGGCAUGCAUUGGAAACUGGCGGGCUGGAGUGCCGGAGAGGUAAGCGGAAUUCCUAGUGUAGCGGUGAAAUGCGUAGAUAUUAGGAGGAACACCAGUGGCGAAGGCGGCUUACUGGACGGCAACUGACGCUGAGGCUCGAAAGCGUGGGGAGCAAACAGG
rnacentral:rRNA from 1 species